rnacentral:lncRNA from 1 species
AUGGAAGCUCGGUUUGUUUAUUUACAAGUACUCAUCUUCGAUCUUGUAAGGAAGCUGAGAUAUGGAGGCUUUGAGGACCAGGGAAGAGAGCCAGAGGAGUCAGAGAGAGCAAAUGGGGCAAAGACAAUUAUGCCUGAGACUCUUCCCAGACACGCAGGGCGGCUCCUUCCCUACCCAGGAAAUCAAAAUUUGGAACUUAGAAAUACAGAAGUCACGGAAAAAGAAGUUGUUGAUUUUGAGAGUGCUGCUGAUGUAAAGAUAUUUAAAGUUGGAAUAAACGGUGAACUGAAUGUCCUCUUUGGAUGCUAUGAUUAGUUGGUCAUUGGACUGGUAUGAUGAAUAUCCAGGAAAAUGGCAUUUAAAAGUUAAGUCCAAAUGAGGAAAAUCUUUUUUAAAGUGUUCAGCUCACUUAAUAUUUGGAAAUAAUAAGAGGUGAGAGAAAUAAAAUAAUGCUAAAAUAUUGCUUAUGAGAAACUUCUCCUGAUGAAAUCUUCCUAUUUUAAUAAAAAGCUCCAGUUUGAAAAGUGAUCUAUUAACUGUUUAAACUUAAUUUCUUGAUUACUAUAUUUUGUAACCUUGAAAUAGGGAAGUUCUCUUAAUCUAUUUAAAUGUAUCUUGACUUGCUUGAGUAAGAAGUAACUAAACAAGAAUGAUUUCCUUAAACCUUAAUGAUUUUUUAAAUAACUCAUUGAAUUUUCUCCUAAAUGUACAGAUACAUGUGUAAAUGAAAGCUGGGGAUGCUGUACAAAAUAUGAUUGCUUCAGUAUACAUCUUUAUGUCUUUGUGUUGCUCUGUUAUCAAUUCUAACUGUCCUUUUAAUGUAAAUACAUAUUUAACUGUGUCAUAAUAAUUAUUUUUAUUAGUUUCUGUAAGACUUUCCAGAAUGUGUUCCAUACAACAUCAGAACAGCAACACUUACCAUUGUAUUCAAAUAAUACUUGGAAACACUAUCUGUGUUUCUCUGAGAUUUGUGCUGCAUAUGAGCAUGUUAACAAAGGCUGUGUUACUAAAGUCUCUUGCAAAAAAAAAAAACAAAAAAAAUACAAAAUUAAUUAAACUUCUCAACCCUCUCUGGGCCACUGCUUUCCCAAACUUUUAGUCCAUAUAAAUCUCCUGAGUCUUUCCCUGCCUCAGCUACAUCAGCAUUCUUUGUCUCACAUUUAGUAAAAUGCAGCUCCAGGGCCAUGGCCCUAAUAAUAGAGGUUGAGGGAGUCAGAAAUCAUCUUGAUGUGCUGUUUCUCACAAUUUACUUUCUACUCCUUCAAAAAUAUCUAUUUGAAUAUAUAAAUAUAUAUAAAUAGUAUGCAUGAAAAUGAUUUCUGAUAAGAAAGGGUUUCAGGUAAUUAAAAACCUGGGAUAAUUAAAUUAUGUUCUAUAUUUAAUUAAUACUUUUCAGUAAUUAAAUGAACUUUUCUUCUAACUGAAGGCAUGUCUUUAGCUGAUUAUUUGAAAGUGCUUUCCAAAGCAAUAAGUAUAUCUGUUGAAGCAGGAUUUUGAGAAGUGGGUGAAGUUGGACUCUACCUGCCUGACAUCUGUAUCUCAUUCUACUGAUGAAGAAUAAGCAGGGACAACAGAUUUACAAAUUAAUUAUAUUAUAAACUAAUCAUUGAGGAAAACAAAAGUCUAGAGCCCUCUGCAAACUUAGGAGACAUGUCAGACAUCUUAGGAGACAAACUCACAGAAUGGGAGAAACUAUUUGCAAAUGAAUCAACUGACAAGGGAUUAAUCUGCAAAAUUUAUAAACACCUCCUCCAGCUCAAUACCCAAAAAUCAAACAACCUCAUCAAAAAAUGAGCAGAAGAUAUAAAUGGACAAUUCACCAAAAAAAGACAUACAUAUAGUCAAAAAACACAUGAAAAGAUGUUAAACAUCACUGAUUAUUAGAGAAAUGCAAAUCAAAACCACUAUGAGGUACCACCUUACAUGGGCCAGAAUGGCCAUCAUCAAAAUGUUUAUAAGCAAUAAAUGCUGGAGAGGGUGUGGAGAAAAGGGAACCCUAUUACACUGUUGGUGGGAAUGUAAGUUGGUGCGACCACUGUGGAAAACAGUAUGGAGAUUCCUCAGAAAACUAAAAAUAGAAUUACCAUUUGAUCCAACUAUCCCAUUCCUGUGCAUCUAUCCAAAAAAAACCUUGGCUUGAAAAAAUACAUGUACUCCAAUGUUCAUUGUAGCACUCUAUACAAUAGCCAAGACAUGGAAACAACCUAAAUUUCUAUCGACAGAGGAGUGGCUAAAGAAGAUGUGGUACAUAUACACAAUGGAAUAUUACUCAGCCAUUAAAAGGAAAGAAAUAACAAGCAUUUGCGGCAACAUGGGUAGACCUAGAAAUUAUCAUGCUAAGUGAAGUUAGAUAGUGAGACACCAACAUUAAAUGCUAUCACUUACAUGUGGAAUCUAAAAAAAAGGACACAAAGAACUUCUUUGCAGAACAGAUACUGACUCACAGACUGUGAAAAACCUAAGGUUUCUAAAUGAAACAGGGUGGGAGAUAGGGGGAUAUGCUGGGGGUUUGGGAUGGAAAUGCUGUAAAAUUGGGUUAUGAUGACUGUUGUACAGCUAUAAUUGUACUAAAAUUGAGUAAUAAAAAAAAAUGAGACACAUCAGUGUUUGGCCUAGUCUACAACUGUAGUUAGAUUGGAAUGCUUGAUUAGUAGAUAAUACCAAUCUUUUUUUUUUUUUUUUUUUUGAUCUUUUUGGCGCCACACCCUUGGCAUAUGGAAGUUCCCAGGCUAGGGGUCUAAUCGGAGCUACAGCUGCCUGCCUAUGCCACAGCCACAGCAACACAGGAUCUGAGCCAUUUCUGUGACCUACACCACAGCUCAUGGCAAUGCCAUAUCCAUAACCCACUGAGGGAGGCCAGGGAUUGAACCCACAUCCUCAUAGAUACUUGGGUUCGUUAACCACUAAGCCACAACAGGAACUCCCUCAAACAUUUUUUUUUAACACUCUUUUUCUUCUUUUGAUUUUGUUGUGUCUUCCCAGCCUGGGUCCUAUAGGUUUCCAUUCAAACAACCUACAGGCAUGAUACAGCAGAUCAACACACAGAUGCCACUUUUGCUUUAUGUAUGCAACCAGAACAGUGAGUACAGUCUCUGCUUCCUGACAGUCUGCCUCUUGAGCCCUGGAACUGGAGAAAUUACAACAUGCCUCCCCAGUAUUGAAGCAGCAGAUGCACAGUCAAGAGGAGCCAAAUGCUAUGCCUUACCCUGGAGCCAGUAGGACAUGAUCAGGCUGGUUGAAAAUGGCAACAAAAUAUUAACCUUUUCUCAGGAAAGCUGAGAUGCAUAAGAGAAAGAACAAGCGCUAGAGGAGAUGAAAAAGAAGGGAAAAAUGGAAAGAGCAAAGGAGACCAGAGGUAGGGACAGCACAGGUAAAAGGCAAGCAGCAAGUCCUCUGAUAGCUCAGGAAAGAACAAACGGUAAAUACACCUAGACCAACUCUGUCAUGCGAAAGUGAGACAAAGAGCCUCCUGGUCCUCAAAACUUUAGCAAUGGAAGCAUUUACUCAUUUACUCAUUCAUUCAUUCAUUAAAAAAAAAUGGUGACUUCUCUCUGAGGGAAGAGCCUAAAUUUGAUUCACUUCCAAACUCCCACUUCUUCUACUGCAGUGGACCAAGGCUAUAGAUUCCCUGAUCAGCUGCCACGAAGGAAGGGUCACUACAUUUUUCUGACCAUAUAUACUCAGGAGUAGGAAAUCUGGCAAUGAUAACAUAAAUGAAUAAUAUUAUUUUUAUGAGAAGGGAAUGACAGCAAGGAUGAAUGGUAUCUGAGGACCAAGCCCCUGUCUCCAACCUCCCACAUCCAUGUGUAACAUAAAGCCCUCUCCCCACCUGUAGAUAAUAAAUAAACCCUGAACAGGAAACAAAGAAUCCCAGAAUUCAUAAAGAAAACUCUGCAUUGACUCCUGAAUUUCUAAAAGUAAGUCUCUUAUCAUUGGGUAUCUUUAGGACUCAAGAUAGAAAAAAAAAAUACAAUUUUCACAUAUCUUGUUUGAGGCUUAAAAAAGGCUAGGGCCUUAUGUUUGUUUUGAAAGAGGCACUGAAAAAUAUCCAUUCCCAGAAUUUUCUAGUUAAAAUUUUGACAAGAUAUAGUACCUCUAUUUAAUACCAAAAUGGCAUUAUGUUUCCAUAAAUAUAAUUUAGUUCUUUCCUACUUUUGAAAAAAUAACUUAUUUUAGACACAAAGUCUCAUAUUAAAGCCUGACAAUAAAAUUAGAUUUUUCAAAAAACUGUAUUACAAUCCCAUAGUUUUUAAUUUAGUUUUACAAUGUUCAGAUAGUAAUGUGAAUAGAAAUGGUGACUCAAUUACUUUUCAAGUGAAAUACCUUGAUGAAUAUAUUCAUUUUCUUCUGACAGGGAAUUAUUAUUGCCUUAAAUUCAAUCUUAGCCCUGCACAUGCUGUGGGGAUUUUCAUGGCUAAACUGUUUUAAAUUAUCUUAUGAGUCAUUCACCUUGAAAAAUGAAUGCACUUUACCCAUAAUAAGGCAGAAUAAUAUGUUGUAGGCUGUAGAUGACUUCAAAUUUGAUUUUCUAGAGAUAUUUUAUUAAAACAUUUCCCUUAGGUGGCUAAGAAUCAUGCCUCUUGAUUUACUUCAGGGUCAGGAUUGGGACACUGGACUGAGCUAUGUGUAUUUGUUCAUUCAUUCAGCAAAUAGAGAGUUUAGCAGAUAAAGGAUCAAGGCCAGAAGCUCUGUUAAAACCAAGAUGAGCAAAUCAGUCUUUAGGACUAGAAGUCUACUGAGGAAGGAAGGUCCAAGCAGUGUUCUUAGAGGUUAGGAUUAGGGCCACUAAUUUCAUGAUUGAUGUUAUUUGCUCUCUGCCCUGGUUUGAAACCACAUAUGGACAGAAGGCAGGGGAUAACAGAAGCUGAGACUCUAGUAGAAAUAGACCAGAAGUCUGCAGGUAAAUCUGAUUAGAUGAGGCCAACAAAGAAAGGCUAAACUUGCCUUAGCCUCAUACUUAUUAAGAAUGUGUACAUUAUAGGGUUCAAAAUAUUAUUCCAAAAAAUCAGUAUCAUUGCCUUGCAUACUUAUAUCUAGUUAGAAGUAUGUAAAGAUGGAAAAAAUGGCAAGAACUAGAAGCUAUAAAAGCACCUUUUAGGUAAAAUGGGAAGUUAUGACCUGCUUAAUUUGCUCAAUGGACCCGUUUUACCCUAUCAAUGAUUUGGAUAAUAUGAGUUGUAUUUAUUCAUAUUGUAAACUAGGGAACAAACUUACAAGGGCAAAUUUACUUUUCUAUAUGGGCCAGUGGCAG